rnacentral:rRNA from 1 species
GACGAACGCUGGCGGCGUGCUUAACACAUGCAAGUCGAACGGAAAGGCCCUGCUCUUGCGGGGUGCUCGAGUGUUGAACGGGUGUGUAACACGUGAGUAACCUGCCCUUUACUUUGGGAUAACUUUAGGAAACUGGGGCUAUUAUCGGAUAGGACCUCCUGCUGCACGGUGGGGGUUGGAAAGUUUCGCCGGUUGGGGAUGGACUCGCGGCUUAUCAGCUUGUUGGUGGGGUAGUGGCUUACCAAGGCUUUGACGAGUAGCCGGCCUGAGAGGGUGACCGGCCACAUUGGGACUGAGAUGCGGCCCGGACUCCUACGGGAGGCAGGGGUGCAGAAGAGAGCACGAUAGGCGGAGGGCUGGUGCAACGACGCCGCGUCGGGGAUGACGGCCUUCAGGUUGGAAAGCGUGUUCGCCUGUGAAGAGGAGAGAGUGACGGUAACUGAUAAAGAAGCACCGGCUAACUACGUG